CUACGGGUUGCUGCAGUGGGGAAUAUUGGACAAUGGGCGAAAGCCUGAUCCAGCAAUGCCGCGUGAGUGAAGAAGGCCUUAGGGUUGUAAAGCUCUUUCAGUCGUGACGAUGAUGACGGUAACGACAGAAGAAGCCCCGGCUAACUCCGUGGCCAGCAGCCGCGGUAAUACGGAGGGGGCUAGCGUUGUUCGGAAUUACUGGGCGUAAAGCGCACGUAGGCGGCGUAUCUAGUCAGAGGUGAAAGGCCCGGGCUCAACCUGGGAACUGCCUUUGAUACUGGUACGCUUGAGUCCGGAAGAGGGUAGUGGAAUUUCCAGUGUAGAGGUGAAAUUCGUAGAUAUUGGAAAGAACACCAGUGGCGAAGGCGGCUACCUGGUCCGGUACUGACGCUGAGGUGCGAAAGCGUGGGGAGCAAACAGGAUUAGAUACCCUUGUAGUC
rnacentral:rRNA from 1 species